ACGAACGCUGGCGGCGUGCUUCACCCAUGCCAGUCGAACGGAAAGGCCCUGCUUUUGUGGGGUGCUCGAGUGGCGAACGGGUGAGUAACACGUGAGUAACCUGCCCUUGACUUUGGGAUAACUUCAGGAAAUUGGGGCUAAUACCGGAUAGGAGCUCCUGCUGCAUGGUGGGGGUUGGAAAGUUUCGGCGGUUGGGGAUGGACUCGCGGCUUAUCAGCUUGUUGGUGGGGUAGUGGCUUACCAAGGCUUUGACGGGUAGCCGGCCUGAGAGGGUGACCGGCCACAUUGGGACUGAGAUACGGCCCAGACUCCUACGGGAGGCAGCAGUGGGGAAUAUUGCACAAUGGGCGGAAGCCUGAUGCAGCAACGCCGCGUGCGGGAUGACGGCCUUCGGGUUGUAAACCGCUUUCGCCUGUGACGAAGCGUGAGUGACGGUAAUGGGUAAAGAAGCACCGGCUAACUACGUG
rnacentral:rRNA from 1 species